rnacentral:rRNA from 1 species
AACGUAGGUGGCGAGCGUUAUCCGGAUUUACUGGGCGUAAAGCGUGCGUAGGCGGUUCGCUAAGUCGGUUGUGAAAUCCCUGGGCUUAACCUGGGAACUGCAGUCGAUACUGGCGGACUAGAGUACGGUAGAGGGUGGCGGAACUCCGGGUGUAGCGGUGAAAUGCGCAGAUAUCAGGAGGAACACCGGUGGCGAAGGCGGUUCUCUGGGCAUUACCUGACGCUGAGGAGCGAAAGUGUGGGGAGCGAACAGG